rnacentral:tRNA from 1 species
AGUCUUAUAGUCAAAAAAUGAUGCUAAAUUGCAAGUUUAGAGUUAGAUUUUAUCUUAAGGCUU